ACGGAAGGCAGCAGUAGGGAAUCUUCCACAAUGGACGAAAGUCUGAUGGAGCAAUGCCGCGUGAGUGAUGAAGGAUUUCGGUUCGUAAAACUCUGUUGUAAGGGAAGAACAAGUAACGUAGUAACUGGCGUUACCAUGACGGUACCUUAUUAGAAAGCCACGGCUAACUACGUGCCAGCAGCCGCGGUAAUACGUAGGUGGCAAGCGUUGUCCGGAAUUAUUGGGCGUAAAGCGCGCGCAGGUGGUUCUUUAAGUCUGAUGUGAAAGCCUCCGGCUCAACCGGAGAGGGUCAUUGGAAACUGGGGAACUUGAGUGCAGAAGAGGAUAGUGGAAUUCCAAGUGUAGCGGUGAAAUGCGUAGAGAUUUGGAGGAACACCAGUGGCGAAGGCGACUAUCUGGUCUGUAACUGACACUGAGGCGCGAAAGCGUGGGGAGCAAACAGGAUUAGAUACCCUGGUA
rnacentral:rRNA from 1 species